rnacentral:lncRNA from 1 species
GUGUUUGCAAAGGGGAGCAGUACAGUACAGGAGCACCCUAAACUAAUCCAUGACGUCAAUACGGAGACCCUCUGACCUGUAUACGAGACGAGACUACACAACAGUCUGGAAAAAACAAAACACUCGUGUGCGUCAUUGCAAACGAGCGUGCUUUGACCUGUUUUGAUGUUCACCGCUCUGCUACGUGCCGUGGCUGAACCGGUCGCACGCAGCAGCACUACUCUCGCCAGUCGCUAGAGAGGGGGCAGCACCGCGCUGGUCACUGGAUUUGGAUGCAUGCGUGCUCGCUUGCGUUCGCUGAAACGCAAGGCGUCAUCUGAUCUGGCCGAUCGACCGAUCACGCAGCCCGCAGCCCGCAGCCCGCUAAACUAAACACAGAUGCAUGCACCCAGCUCCAGCGGUCCGUGUAUGGGAUCCGUACGCUGGCCUUUUGUCCCUGGUCCAGCCAGAUGCUGCCUCGGAUGCACAACCAACUAAUCACAGACGCGGACCCGGGAAGGAACACACGUGACGGAUUGGACAGCAAGCAGGCCCCCGGCGCGCACUCGCGUCGCCGUCCGACCAUUUGUUCUGUUGGGUGCAGCGUACCCGUCGCCGAACCGGACAACGGCGAGUGAGCCGCGGCGCACCAUAGAGGGCAUGUUCUUUUACUAAGAGUGUAAAUGUAUACUCCCUUCUAUUAAGACAGCGGGUAAGUUACGAAGAAUCCCCUCAAAAGACUCAUGUUUAGGUGGACGAAAAUUUAGAGUUACUAGG